GUCAGAGAUGUAAGCAUGGCAACAUGUUAAGUUGACUGAUACUAAUAAGUCGAGGGCUUGACCAAA
rnacentral:rRNA from 1 species